AAUGAACGCUGGCGGUAUGCCUAACACAUGCAAGUCGAACGGCAACGCUCCUGCUUGCAGCGCUUCCCGAGUGGCAAACGGGUGCGGAACACGAGGACGACCUACCCUGCACUUUCGGGUAAGCCUGGGAAACUGAAUCUAAUACCGUACCGGAUGAUGGCUUGGUUGCCAUUCAGGGAAGCUUUUUCGCUGUGGGAUGUGCAUGCGGCCUAUCCGCAUGUUGGGGGGGUAAUGGCCUACCCAUGCGUCGGCGGGUAGCCGCCCUGAGAGGGUGGACAGCGUCAUUGGGACUGAGGGACGGCCCAGUCGGGUACGGUAGGCAGCAGUGGGGAAUAUUGCACAAUGAGAGCAAGCCGGAUGCAGCGGCGCCGCGGGGGGGAAGACGGCCUUCGGGUUAAAAAAACCAGGCGCUUGAGACGAAGCGCAAGUGACGGUACCUGAAGAAGAAGCACCGGCUAACUACGUG
rnacentral:rRNA from 1 species